GGGCAACAUAACAUCUCUUAAAAAAACAAAACAAAACAAAACAAAAAAACCCAACUUGAACAUUGUGGUGCACGUCUGUAGUCCUAGCUACUUGGGAGGCUGAACCUAGGAGUUGGAGGCUGCAGUGAGCUAUGAUUGUGCCUCCCAAAGUGCUGGGUUUACAGGCAUGAGCCACCAUGCCUGGCUGCUAAUAUUUUUAAUUGUCUUGCUUGCUUAUUCUAUGCAAUUAUAUGUGUUUAAGUAUUGAAAUGCUAACAACAACCAAAGAUAGUUUGGUUUGCUCUUAGCAGAAUGAUGCCUGUAAUCCCAGGUACUCCGGAGGCUGAGGCAGGAGAAUCGCUGAACCUGGAAGGUGGAGGUUGUGGUGAGCCGAGAUUGGGCCAUUGCACCCCAGCCUGGACAGCAAGAGUGAAACUCCAUCUCAAAAAAAAAAAAAAGAUAAAGGCAGGUGCAGGGUAGGCUAGAAAUCCAGAAAGUUGUCCAUAGACUGACAGUGAUGAGGGCGUGUGUGAUCAUUUUCCACUUCAUGCGUCGGAAUGCACACAACUGCUUUCUUCAAACUGUUAACAGUACUGCUAAGAACUGAAUUAACAGUUGAGAUAUUAAGUAACUUUAUUUUAGCCAUGUGGCAAAAAUCAACCAGUCCAUCACAGGCCAAGGAUUUGCAUUUGAGGAGCAGACAGAGAGGAGGUGUUAAUGUGGAAGGGGCUGCGGGACACCUGUCGAGCUGCUCUCCUGGGUUAGAGGGCUGGUGGCGAUACUGCCUUUCAGUUGAAUGGCACUUUUGAUGGUUUUCCCAUUUGAUUGUUACGGUUGUGGACCAUGGGUAGAGUGUAGCUGUCUUUGCACACAUUUUGUGGAUACAUAAACCAAGAGGAAUAAUAACUUAAGUGACAUGUUUGAGGUUGGAAGGGUCAGUUUGUUUCAAACAUGGAAGGACAGUGAGUCAGCUUUUUUUUUUUUUUUUUUUUUUUUUUGAGGCAGGGUUCACCUUGUCACCCAGGCUGGAAUAGAGUGGUGUAGACACAGCUCACUGCAGCUUCAACCUCCUGGACUCAAGCAGUCCUCACACCUAACCUCCCGAGCAGCAGGGACUACAGGCAUGCACCACCACGCCUGGCUAUUUUCUAUAUUUCUAUUUUAGAGAUGGGGUUUCACCAUGUUGCCCAGGCUGCUCGAACUCCUGGGCUCAAGUGAUCCUGCCUGCCUCAGCUUCUCAAAGUGCAGGGAUUACAAGCGUGAGCCACCACUCCUGGCCGUGAAUUAGCAUUUUGUUGUCUUUUUUUAUUUGUUUUGAGACAGGGUCUCAAAACAGCCUUGAGCACUGUUGCCCUGGGCACUGUUGCCCAGGCUGGAGUGCAGUAGUGUGAUCAUAGCUCACUGCAGCCUUGACUUCCUGGGCUCAAGUGAGGCUCCCACGUCAGCCCGCAAAGUAGCUGGGAAUACAGGUGCGCACCACCACACCUGGAUCAUUUUUGUAUUUUUGGGAGGGACCAGGUUUCACCAUGUUGCUUGGGUUGGUCUCAAACUCCUGGCCUCAAAUGAUCCUCCCACCCGAGCCCCCCAAAGUGCUGGGAUUACAGGCAGGAGCCGCUAUGCCUAGCUAGCGAAUUAGCAUUUAAAAAAUAUAUACUUCCUGGUUCCCCCUACAGGAGUGUUGAUUCAGCAAGGUGAGGCCCAGGAGUCUGCAUUUGAAUCAGCUCCACAGGUGGUUACUGUGCAGCCAGUCUGUACUUCCCGUCUUGCCUGUGCCGCCUCAACAUCGUGGAGCCUGCGUGUUUUGCUAACUCGAGAGCCCAGGUGUGCAGUGCAUUAUUUUUCCUGAUAGGCAGCAUUCUGGUUUUGUGAAUGGGUGUGCCUUUGGUUCCAUUGCCAUCAUCUGGGCUGCGGACAUUGACUGGGUUCCCCCUGGGUGCCCAGCACUUUGUCACAGGUCUGGGCUUCUGCUUUUCAGAGUAGAGUGGGGAAGACAGCUGGACAUGCAGCCGGGAAGUGAGGAAUGCCGGGGCUGGGGGCGGGUGUGACCACCUAGCAAGGGGACCUGUCCAUGCCCACGUGGGAAGUAGAGGAGGCCUCUGCAGGAAAUGGCCUCAAGCUGUGAACAUCAGGUAAGUGGGAGCUGGUCAGGGAAAAGUGGCAGCUUCAGAGGUCAGAGGGAACAACCGUGGUGUGGAGGGCCAGCAGAGGAACAGACGGCAUGUUGAGCGAGCUGUAGAUUGCUGUGACCGAUGUGCUGUGAGGCAUGAGGUGAG
rnacentral:lncRNA from 1 species